rnacentral:lncRNA from 1 species
UUAGAACUUUCUCACGACGGGGGAUCCAAAGUCCACACAUUCAGUCAGAAUUCCGAUGCAACGCAGAUCCGGCGCCAUCAACUUGUGGGGAGUUAUCAAACUUACUGAAACGAGGUAAUUGAACAACUAGGAUCUUCAAUCCAACAGAAAAAUGGGGACCGAGACAUUCGAAACCAAGCUCGAACUACUCACGCCAUACUGUAGCCCUCCUAGAUAACGUGCAGAUUUAAGAUAUAAACUGCCCAAGACAGUGAAGUUAAUUGUGGAAGACGUCUCGAAACAAUCUAGAAACACUCGCGUCACAGCGGAAGGCGAUAGCAGCUCCGCACCCGGCAUAACAAACCUUGCACUGUCCAACUCCACGACUGAAGCUCCUCGUAUCCUAAACAACAGCAGGAGUUCGCGGAAUUAGCCGCCUUCGACGAGACUAGAUUAGCUCAUCAGAGGACUUAUCCAGAGGGAGGCGUCAAGAAUGCGACUAGAUCAAUUACACGCCGCAACACGUCCCUCGACCACGGCCCCAAGCCUCCGCCACGAAGGAGAUACGGUCCAGAACCCAAUUCACGACAUAGCUCGAUAAAAUGUGCGAUUGAGAUCAAAUCAAACCUGGUAGGACUAACUUACUCCGAACUGCUCGAAAAUGGCGGCAUUGAAACACCAGUACAGGCAGGAGAGAUGUUAACUGAAAGGACUGAAGGGGCCAGAAAAUACCUUCGGCUCUUUCUCCUGGAUCAGAACGCAUUGAUCUCAACACCACGCCGGAAAACAACUUCUUAGCGUGGGGAGUCUUUUCUGCAGGCAAUCUUGGAUGCAUUCACUUAGCAACUUGUGGGGAAGCAGGUGGG